UCUGACACAGGUGCUGCAUGGCUGUCGUCAGCUCGUGUCGUGAGAUGUUGGGUUAAGUCCGUAACGAGCGCAACCCUUGUCCUUAGUUACCAGCACGUUAUGGUGGGCACUCUAAGGAGACUGCCGGUGACAAACCGGAGGAAGGUGGGGAUGACGUCGAGUCAUCAUGGCCCUUACGGCCUGGGCUACACACGUGCUACAAUGGUCGGUACAAAGGGUUGCCAAGCCGCGAGGUGGAGCUAAUCCCAUAAAACCGAUCGUAGUCCGGAUCGCAGUCUGCAACUCGACUGCGUGAAGUCGGAAUCGCUAGUAAUCGUGAAUCAGAAUGUCACGGUGAAUACGUUCCCGGGCCUU
rnacentral:rRNA from 1 species